AUUCUUAUUCUCAGCAAUCUCUACCAUGCGACCCCACUGAUCAGUGCUGCCUGUCUCGAUAGCUUUCUGAGCAUCCUUGAAAGACGACAUGGGUGCCCCAGUUUUCUUUACUUCAGCAAUAGACAAGGCUUGGAACGGAGUUCCAACCUCCUCCUCCUCAGCUUCAACAUAGGAAAAGGAUGACAGAUGGCUCACCAAUAAUGCCUUCUCUCCACCAACAAC
rnacentral:lncRNA from 1 species